rnacentral:lncRNA from 1 species
UUAUAUAUAAAUAAAUAUUAUUUAAUUUAAAUUGAAGCACUUACCACACAAAGUGGCCAUUAACUUGAGACAACAAGGCCUGUCUGAGUGCAUGGUUUUACUCUACCCAAUGCCAAAUCUUUAGCUCCUGUAAUUAAAAAAAAACACAUAACUGUGUGUUAAUUUUUAUGUAUUUCUUCAUAAUCUGAACAACACGAAAAACAAAAAGCCAAUACUCAAACCCCAAGACAAGUUCAAUACAGAUUAUAAAACUACUAGUACAAGAACCUUAGAAUAAUAUUACAUCAUUAAUUACACAGUCUGCAACUCCUUUUAAAGCAUUUAUUUCUAUUAUUUUAUUUUCAAAAUACCCCCUUAGAUCCAACCCACCCACACUUUAGAUUCUUACAGCUUGUGUUCAUUACACACACCCAAAAUAAAAAAUAAAAAAAUAGAUAGAUGGUCUGUCUGCAACUACAUGGAAAGAGGGUCACCCUUUUCUUGAUGAAAAUAAACCAGGUAAAAAAACACACAUAUAUGUAUGUAAAGAUAUGUAAUGUUUUUUUAUUUCUACAUAGUUUUUUUGAAAUAAUUGGUCUGAUUUCUGAUCCAUAGAUGAACAGUAAAAGGGUUUUCAGACUCUGGUGAGGGGAGGGGGACCCACAGUUGAAUUGAAGAAAGAAGAAGAUGAAUGAAUAUAUUCACAUGUGUGUAUGAGAAAUCUUAAUCUUACUCUUACAGACUGUUGCAUUCAUCUUCUGAUCAGAGUUCCCAGUUUCAACCACUCAUUGAACUCCACCUGUCAUAAUCAAACCAAGGUUAAGAAGAAAGAAAGGAAAACUUAAAAAAAGCCAAAAGUUCCUAUUUUUCUUGCAUUGCUUAAAAAAAGAUUGUUAGCAGGAAGAAAGUGUUUGAGGUGUGGGAGUUUGGGGGGCCGGGGCCUCCUCAUUCAUUCAUUAACAGAACAUGGGUGAAGAAGCAGAAAUCCCCACCGUUGAUUAUGACACCAAGUCACUUACGGUGAAGAUAUCUAAUUCCGGCAAGGAAACUCUCGCCGGCAACUCGUUGACGAAGAACCCAUCGGCGAAUUCGUCUCCGUACAACUCCCCACUUAUCUCCCCUCCUUCAUCAGCCUUCGUUUCGGCAUUGCAAUCACCUUACAUUUCUCCAAGGGCUACCGUCGCCACCACCGCCGGAGCCGGAGCCGGAGCCGGAAACCCUUCCGACGAAAGUCCAACUCCGGCGACCACACUCACCCACCCCUCCUAUCCGGUUUCCUCCGACGAUGUCCCCAGCACGUCCUACAACACCCCACCGCCGGAGAAGCUCAAGAUCGUCACUUGCGUUCCGGGUCCGGGUCCGGGUCCGGGCCAGGAAAAUGCGGGCCGGAUUUCGUUCUCGUUUCCCGCCCCUCGAAUCUCGUUCGCCAAGGGCGGGUACGCCUCUUCUCCCGCCGGCGCCGCCGCCGCCGCCGCGAACGCGAAGCUGAGGAGCUGCGACGUGUACGUGGGCUUUCACGGCCAGAACCCUAACUUAUCUCGGUUCUGCAAAUGGCUGAAAUCGGAGCUCGAGAUACAGGGCAUCGCCUGCUUCGUCGCCGACAGAGCAAAGUACGCCGACAACCAGAGCCACGAAAUCGCCGACAGGGUUAUCUGCUCCGUCGCCUACGGUGUCGCGGUGGUCACAAACCACAGCCUCCUCAACCACCUCAGCUUAGAAGAAAUCAGAUUCUUCGCCCAGAAAAAGAAUCUAAUCCCAUUAUUUUUCAACACCGACGCCGACGAAAUCACCACCCUCUUCAACCCAAACGGAGACAAUAACAACAAGGAGUGUAAAGAAGCACUCGACGGACUAAUGAAAUGCCACGAGUUCAAAUUAGAAGCCGAUGAGGGAAACUGGAGAAGCACCGUAUCAAGAACCGCCGCCAUAUUGAGGGGCAAACUCGGAAGAAAGAGCGUCGCCGAAAAGGAAAUCAAUGCACACACAAACGAAGAACUACCCUUUCCUCGAAACAAGAAUUUCGUCGGCAGGGAGAAAGAAAUUACAGAUAUCGAAACUGCAUUUUUCGGGUGUGGAGAUUAUUUCGAGCAAGAAUGUAGUAGAAUUACGGUCCCGACCGUUAAAAACGUGACACCUGGACAAUCCGACGACGGAGAAAGCGAAGUCGGAGGCAAAUACAUUAGUUUGGAACCGAAUUUAGAGGCGUGGGUUGAGCCAGCAAUUGGAAGAAACUCUCUCAAAAGGGCUAAAUACAAGAAAUCGAAAAGUGGGAAGUACAAGAGCUUUGGUAGCAGCAUUGUGUGUGUAACCGGUUCACCGGGAGUUGGAAAAACCGAGCUGGCUUUGGAAUUCGCUCACCGAUUCUCGCAGAGGUACAAGAUGGUUUUGUGGGUGGGCGGGGAAUCUCGGUAUUUCAGGCAGAAUAUACUGAACAUAUCUCUCAACAUGGGAUUGGAUGUGAGCGCGGACGAAGAGAAGGAGAGGGGUAGGAUCCGUAAUUUCGACGAACAAGAAUCGGAAGCGUUCAAAAGGGUUAAAAGGGAAUUGUUUCGCGAGAUGCCCUAUUUACUCAUAAUCGACAAUCUUGAAACCGAGAGGGAAUGGUGGGAAGGUAAAGACCUACACGAUUUAAUACCAAGAAACACGGGCGGGACCCACGUGAUCAUUACAAGUAGGCUCUCGAGAGUGAUGAGCAUCGAUCCGAUGCAUCUUCAGACACUGCCUUUGCCCGAAGCAACAACACUGAUCAAAGGGAGACGGAAAAGGGAAUAUCCGGAUGCUGAGCUGGAAUUUCUCGGAAAAUUCGACGAGAAAUUGGGUCGAUCGAGUUUUGGCUUAAAUGUGAUAAGCUCGUUGCUUUCGGAACUCGGAAUAUCACCGUCUGCUUUGUUUGAGGCGGUGAACCAGGUUCAGUACGAUGAAACGAUAAACUGCUUGAGUUUGAGCAGUUCAGAGCAGCAAUUCUGCAGGACAAGCCCUUUCCUAAUGAAGGUCUUGUCCUUUUGCGGUGAUAUAUUACAGCAAGUCAACGGCAAUGGGAACACUCUUGCUUCAAGAAUGCUUCAAGCUGGAGCAUGGUUUGCACCUGCACCAGUUCCAGCAAAUUUAUUAGCUACAGCAGCAAAUAAUGUACCGAAAACCAGAAACAAACUGAAAAGUUGGACAAGAUUCUUAAAGCUCACAAUCAGUUGCUGCUCAGGUUGUCUGUCAAACCAAUCAUGGAAGAGCGAAGAAGAAUCGGCUCUUCUCUUAGUACGGCUCGGUUUAGCCCGGAAAGUCAACAUACAACAACAACAACAGCAAGGGUGUUGGAUUCAAUUCCACCCCAUAACUCAGAUAUUCGCGAAAUCGAGAUUCGGACUAACCGCAGCAAAAGCAGCCGUUCAAGGAGUGAGGAAAAUCGGGAAUCCGUCGCUGAAUUCGGACCACUUAUGGGCAUCGGCUUUUCUCGUAUUCGGAUUCA